rnacentral:rRNA from 1 species
AAGGCCCACCAAGGCGACGAUCUGUAACUGGUCUGAGAGGAUGAUCAGUCACACCGGAACUGAGACACGGUCCGGACUCCUACGGGAGGCAGCAGUGGGGAAUAUUGGACAAUGGGGGCAACCCUGAUCCAGCCAUGCCGCGUGUGUGAAGAAGGCCUUUUGGUUGUAAAGCACUUUAAGCAGGGAGGAGAGGCUAAUGGUUAAUACCCAUUAGAUUAGACGUUACCUGCAGAAUAAGCAUCGGCUAACUCCGUGCCAGCAGCCGCGGUAAGACGGAGGAUGCAAGCGUUAUCCGGAAUAUUGGGCGUAAAGCGUCCGCAGGUGGCAGUUCAAGUCUGCUGUCAAAGACCGGGGCUUAACUUCGGAAAGGCAGUGGAAACUGAACAGCUAGAGUAUGGUAGGGG